AACGUAGGAGGCAAGCGUUAUCCGGAUUUACUGGGCGUAAAGCGCGUGUAGGCGGCCCGGUCAGUCGGACGUGAAAUCUCCUGGCUCAACUGGGAGGGGCCGUUCGACACUACCGGGCUUGAGGGCAAGAGAGGGAGGUGGAAUUCCGGGUGUAGCGGUGAAAUGCGUAGAUAUCCGGAGGAACACCUGUGGCGAAAGCGGCCUCCUGGCUUGCCCCUGACGCUCAGACGCGAAAGCUAGGGGAGCGAACGGG
rnacentral:rRNA from 1 species